GUCUAUGGCCAUGCUACCCAGAUGCACCCAAUCUUGUCUGACCUUUGGAACUAAGCAGGGUAGACUCUGGUUAGCACUUACAUAGGAAAGAUCAGAAGUCAAGAACA
rnacentral:rRNA from 1 species